GCUGGCGGCAUGCCUAUCAUGCAAGUCGAGCGGAAUGACGAGAGCUUGCUCUCUGAUUUUAGCGGCGGACGGGUGAGUAACACGUGGGCAACCUGCCCUACAGAUGGGGAUAACUCCGGGAAACCGGGGCUAAUACCGAAUAAUCAGUCUGUCCGCAUGGACAAACUCUGAAAGACGGUUUCGGCUGUCACUGUAGGAUGGGCCCGCGGCGCAUUAGCUAGUUGGUGGGGUAAUGGCCUACCAAGGCAACGAUGCGUAGCCGACCUGAGAGGGUGAUCGGCCACACUGGGACUGAGACACGGCCCAGACUCCUACGGGAGGCAGCAGUAGGGAAUCUUCCACAAUGGACGAAAGUCUGAUGGAGCAAUGCCGCGUGAGCGAAGAAGGUUUUCGGAUCGUAAAGCUCUGUUGUAAGGGAAGAACACGUACGGGAGUAACUGCCCGUGCCAUGACGGUACCUUAUUAGAAAGCCACGGCUAACUACGUGCCAGCAGCCGCGGUAAU
rnacentral:rRNA from 1 species